AUGUAAACGGUCAUUUGUCAGCCCGUAGAAUAUACGAUGUGAACUCUGGUCAGCCCUCGGAAACGUCGGUCGGCCCGGUUUCGGGCUCACCAACGUUUCCCACUGUAUAUAGAGGUUGUUGGACAUGUUAUCAUGUGAAAUGACGUUUAGCAAAUUUUCGGUUGGGCCGACCAUUACACCAUAUACACAUAGCUGAUACACCACCUACUUUCACAAAACUUCGCCAGGAGGCGUGGCUGUGUAAUUGUAUACACCUGAUGUGAAUAGUGUCUUUGUGAGCCCAGGUUUAUACGAAUAUUUUUAUUGGCUAGCAUGUUGGUCAGCCCACAAUCGGGCAACGCUGCACUUGCAUUUCAUGAUUCUAACUAGAUUGUCGUGGUGCAGAAUUUCGAUAAUAGAGAUGGAAAAUUUUUUGAGAGAUGUAGAAUUUUAUGAAAAAGUUCCUGUUUUGUAUGUUUUUUGUACAAGCGUUCGUGUGCGUGCAUCACCCUAUAUCUAUACAAGCAAUUUAGAUCAGGAAUUGUUUCGCAUAUAAAAGUUUUAUCAGAGCUUCGUAACAUAUUCACUUGUAGAAAAAUGCUUGAUCUGAACUCAUACUUUCCCACAUUCGACUACUUACCCGAAAUCAGCUUUUUCGGAUAACGGUGUCGAGUACGGAUGUGUACUGUUUCCGUUCUAGUUAGGAUAAUAAUAAUAUAAUUACUAACAGUGCGUUAUUCCAUUUAGCUUGUCGAAGCAAUUUUAACCUCUGCACUAUCUUAGAUACAAAAAUUUGAAUAUGUUAUAAGUUGAAAAUAUCAAUAUAGUGUUCGGAAUCACACGUUAAAAUGUAAGACCUCGUUAAUCUAUAGCUAGUACAAGUUUAUACUUCUGAGGGUUGUCGUUCGUAGGGGUGCGACAGACAUAUUUUAAACCGUUUCCUGUUUGUAUUUUCAAAUGUAGAUUUUCAAAUUCUAAUUAUUUGGCAUGGACGCCUCAACAGAAAUCGCGUUGUGUAAAUCAAUUUUAGACAUUAAGCAGGAAACUUCGGAUUUGACUUUGAAAUUGUAGAUUUGAAAACCUGACUGCACAAAAAUAAUCGAAGUGUGACUGAGUAGAAAUGAGUAGAUGAAAAAUGACAUUUUUUUCACAAACGAAAAAUCUAAAAUGUGAUGAAUGAUCUGGUAAUGAAUUUAUUGAGAAAUGAAUAGUGAAUAUCCAGAAUGUCUACAGUUUCAAUAAAUUCUAUAUAAAAAUCCGCAGCAGCACUACGGAUUUCCGAUAUAUAAUUUAGUUCAAAAAUUAGGUAAAAAUCGCACUAAGUAUGUUUUCUAUGACGAAACGAAAUUCUGAGUGACUAGCAUAAGCAAUAGUUUUUUCGAAAACUCCCUUUCAGUUUUUGGAGGUAUGAUGUUGUUCAGGUUGAACAUAAUGAAGUGGAGAUUAAACCAAUGUUUUUUUAUUAUGUUGACUGUUCAUGACGAUGAAUACGUCAUAUCAUCAUCGAUUAUAACCUGCAGCAGACAUUUCAAUCAAAAUAAAAAAGACUUGGAAUAUUUCAGCACAGAAAAAAUUUGAUCAGGUUGAAUAAACAUUUAUUUGAAUGGAGUAUUAUUCUUCAAUUUGAGAACUGCUGACAAAAAUUGUUCGGUAAACUAAUAAACACGUAGUAUGAAAAAAUAACAUAAUUUCUAAUGAAAUGAAACUACAACAUGGGUAAAAAAAUAUCAAAUGAAAAUUAUUAAUAUUAUUUCUUCUUUCUAUAACAACAGUAAACGUAUUCUUUGAUUGCAGCCCAGUUUCUAUUUUUUAAUAAUGAUGAAUAUUUCUUUUCCUUAUAUUUUAGAUACAAACAAGAACUAAUUCAAUUCUAGCACUUCUUUUUUUUUCGGAGCGAAAAACUUUUUGACUAUAUUUCGUUUUGCUCCUUAGACCAAGUUUGUUUUUGAGAAGGUUUUAUUGUUUUCAAAACUGUGCGUGUCUGAUGAUCUGAAAUGAGAUCAGUGUGUUGAAAAACUCUAUCAAGAUAUCAAACGGGUUGAAAAUGGAUCCAAAAAUGAAUGAUAAAAAUAAAAAAUGGAAGGACGAUACUGAAAAGUGAUUUGACUCAUUUCCAACCUAUACUCAGAGAUACGGAUGAUUCCAAAACAGCUCAAAAUAUAAAUAAUUGAUUGCAUAUAGGGAAUUUUUUUCAAAAGGAGCCACGUUCAAUAUCUCCAUAAAUAA